AUUCAGCUGACCAGUCCCAAAUAGGAUGAAACACGUGUUUUAAAU
rfam:Schistosoma mattheei strain Denwood, Zambia genome assembly, scaffold: SMTD_contig0023097